AGUAACGAAAUAUCGGCACUUUCCAAUUUUGCCCCCCGCGUCGCUCCACUCGCUCGCUCACCGCCCAGCCGCACUGCCCGCGCUCACUCUCUCCCACUCGCCCAGCCGCACUAGCCGGCCUCCCCGUCGCUCGCCGGCCUCCCCCCUCUCCCCGUAGCUCGCCGGCCUCCUCGUUGCUCGCCGGCCUCCCCGUCUCCCCGUAGCUCACCGGCCUCUCCCUCUUCCACCGCCAUUUCUCCACCACCCCGCCUCCACUCACACCCCGGAGGUAAACAAAUUCCAAUCUUUUGCGCCGGCGACGAGCUUCUACUCCACGGAGGCGUGGAUGUGCAUGUGCUAGCGCUGGAUCUGGGCGACAGAGGCAUGGAUGUGGAGCGGCACCCGAGCGGCGGAUCUGGAGCGGUGCCGGAGCGGCGGAUCUGGAGCGACGUCGUCGUCAUCGCGGAGUAGCUGCUUCCUCCCGCGGUAAGUACUCCUGGUAGUCUUUCUUCCUGCCGGUCGAUUUGUUUGAUCUGAAACAGUUGUCUCUUUUGCUUGGUUGGUUGGAUACCAAACAUUGAAACUGGAGAACGAGAGGGAGGGGCAGAUGAUGACCGCCAUCAUGGAUUUGAAUCUUCUGUUCUUACAUUGCUGUAGUACUGGCUGCAGUCUUGCUGUACAAUCACUUGAGGAAUUCAAGGCCUGAUGCGUCCUUUUGGGAGCCAUGGCUACUUCUUCCUGUGCCCUGCGUCAGGAGAAGGAGCACGCCCAGGAGAAGAAGGAUCGGGAGAAGGCCCUGAGGACCUGGGAUCGCUGCUGCUAGAUCUGGAUCUGGGACCUGGGACUGCUGCUGCCGCGUGCUCCUUCUGGGAGACGAGGACCCUCCUUGGCGCCCCUGGAUCGCUGCUGCUGGACGCCCCUGGAUCGCUGCUGCUGGAGAUGAGGACCUGGGCCUGGGAGCGCUGAGGAGAAGUAGGGGACCUGGGCCUGGGAGCGCCUGGGACCUGGGCGCGUGGAGGAGAAGCAGGGGCGGGCGGGCGGACGAUGGCCUGGCGGAGAAUUUCAAAUCCUCGGAGGGAGGAAGAAGACGAUGGGGAUACCGAUUCAUACUAGGGGCAGCGAUGUAAAUUCCACCGUGUUCACCUGGUCGGAACCAAUCCUCCAGCGACCUAUAUUUCGGAACGGAGGGAGUAGACACGUUUACCGCCUGCCACCAAGGAAAAUCCACUAAAACAAUGGCCCCCCGUCUCAACAUGUUUGAUGUAUCGGAUUGGCCGGAUGUACAUACUUAGCAAGAAGAUUUACUAGCAGUCAAUGCAAAAAGGAAUCCCCAUGUGUAUGCAUA